AGUAUGUAGUGCUUCUCUUUGCCUGAGGAGGAAUCCUGGUUCCUGUCUUUAUUUUCCUUCUUGUUCUUAAAUGAAUUUCUGGAAAGUGUAAAGAAAAGGAAGUAUCUCCAUUGAAAAUGGAAUAGUGGCAGGCCACCUGCUUGUCUGGUUCUUUGAUAUGGUACAGGUAAACCAGAAUGCUAGACAUGGACUCUUGGCUUCAAAUUUUUCGUGACACUAUUUUUAAUAAAACCAGGCAACCAAAACCAGGGAGGAAAAAGGAGGUCGAGAAAAGAUAAAGCUGUUAAAACUCUCACUCUCAGCCCUGAAGAGAUCCUCGAUUGCAAUUAUAGAUUGCAACCCUUUGUGACAUUUCUCCAAAUUUAGUAGGCGGCUAUCCUUACCACCUGGGCCAACUGCUCUCUAAUAAAAUCAAGUGAU